CGCCGCAUUAGCUCUGGCUGUGCAGCUCAACGUGAACUGCAGGAAUAACUUGUAGUGGUGCUUUCAGAGGUGCGGGUUGAGCGAGUGGUGAGAAUGAUUUAUCUUUGUGAACAAACAAUUAUGCACCAUUUACAUCUCAACCUGCUGCUCAGCGUGUGGCUCUGUCUACCUGUAGCACAGGUGUCAAACUCCAGUCCUCAAGGGCUGGUGUCCUGCAACUUUUAGAUGUGCCUCUGCUGCACCAAACCUGAAUAGAAUAUAGGUCAUUAGCAAGGAGAACUGAGCUACACAAGGAGGAGGUAAUUAAACCAUUUCAUUCCAGUGUUUUGUACCUGUGGCACAUCUAAAAACUGCAGGACAGUGGAGGACUGGAGUUUGUCACCCCUACUGUAAAGUUCAUGUCUGUGUUCCAAGUUGGUCAGAGCGUUAGUGGUUAACGAACCAGCGCUAACCUCAUCAUGCAGGUUCAGCCCGGUGAGGAGAUUUUGCGCUCUCCUCGUAGUCACUCAUCACUACACUACUAUAUGAUUUUAUUAUUAUUUUUAGUAUUAGUUUUCUAGGUGCACUAAGCAUCAAACCGUAUCAAAUGCUUUGUCCACUUAGUCAGCCAGAGUUAAUGUGCAUGGAGAUCUGAGAAACUCAUCCCUUAAAACUCGAGCAACCAAAACAUUUUCUGUGACUCUUACUAAAAACUCAACAAACACGAAAUUGAAGAGCAACUUGGAGCCAAA